rnacentral:rRNA from 1 species
UACGUAGGUGGCAAGCGUUGUCCGGAUUUCUUGGGUUUAAAGGGUGCGUAGGCGGCCCCAUAAGUCAGUGCUGAAAUACUCUAGCUCAACUAGAGGGGUGGCAUUGAUACUGCGGGGCUUGAGUGGAGUCGAGGUAGGCGGAAUUGACGGUGUAGCGGUGAAAUGCUUAGAUAUCGUCAAGAACACCGAUAGUGUAGACAGCUUACUAGGCUUCAACUGACGCUGAGGCACGAAAGUGUGGGGAUCAAACAGG